GAUGAACGCUAGCUACAGGCUUAACACAUGCAAGUCGAGGGGCAGCGAGAGGAAAGCUUGCUUUCUUUGUCGGCGACCGGCGCACGGGUGAGUAACGCGUAUCCAACCUUCCCCUUAGUAGAGGAUAGCCCGGCGAAAGUCGGAUUAAUACUCUAUGUUAUUCGUAGAUGACAUCUGAAAUGAAUCAAAGGUUUACCGCUAAGGGAUGGGGAUGCGUCUGAUUAGGUUGUUGGCGGGGUAACGGCCCACCAAGCCCACGAUCAGUAGGGGUUCUGAGAGGAAGGUCCCCCACAUUGGAACGGAGACACGGUCCAAACUCCUACGGGAGGCAGCAGUGAGGAAUAUUGGUCAAUGGACGGAAGUCUGAACCAGCCAAGUAGCGUGCAGGAUGACGGCCCUAUGGGUUGUAAACUGCUUUUGUAUGGGAAUAAAGUGCGGGACGUGUCCCGUUUUGUAUGUACCAUAAGAAUAAGGACCGGCUAAUUCCGUGCCAGCAGCCGCGGUAAAAC
rnacentral:rRNA from 1 species